GCCAUAUCACGUUCCAACACCAGUUCUGGUAAGACCACCGAUGUUAAGCAACGUCGAGCAUAGUCAGUACCUUGAUGGGUGACUGCUUGGGAAUACCGGGUGGUGUAA